rnacentral:rRNA from 1 species
GAGUUUGAUCCUGGCUCAGGACGAACGCUGGCGGCGUGCUUAACACAUGCAAGUCGAGCGCUGAAGCCUGCUUUGGUGGGUGGAUGAGCGGCGAACGGGUGAGUAACACGUGGGUGACCUGCCCCUUACUCUGGGAUAAGCCCGGGAAACUGGGUCUAAUACCGGAUAUGACUGCUGGUUGCAUGACUGGUGGUGGAAAGCUUGGUCUUUGGCUUUGUGGUGGGGGAUGGGCCCGCGGCCUAUCAGCUUGUUGGUGGGGUGAUGGCCUACCAAGGCGGCGACGGGUAGCCGGCCUGAGAGGGCGACCGGUCACACUGGGACUGAGACACGGCCCAGACUCCUACGGGAGGCAGCAGUGGGGAAUAUUGCGCAAUGGGCGGAAGCCUGACGCAGCGACGCCGCGUGGGGGAUGACGGCCUUCGGGUUGUAAACCUCUUUCGCCAUCGACGAAGCCUUUUGGGGUGACGGUAGGUGGAGAAGAAGCACCGGCCAACUACGUGCCAGCAGCCGCGGUAACACGUAGGGUGCGAGCGUUGUCCGGAAUUAUUGGGCGUAAAGAGCUCGUAGGCGGUGUGUCGCGUCGGCCGUGAAAACUUGCAGCUUAACUGUGGGCGUGCGGUCGAUACGGGCAUCACUGGAGUUCGGCAGGGGAGACUGGAAUUCCUGGUGUAGCGGUGAAAUGCGCAGAUAUCAGGAGGAACACCGGUGGCGAAGGCGGGUCUCUGGGCCGAUACUGACGCUGAGGAGCGAAAGCGUGGGGAGCGAACAGGAUUAGAUACCCUGGUAGUCCACGCCGUAACGUUGGGCGCUAGGUGUGGGGACCAUUCCACGGUUUCUGUGCCGUAGCUAACGCAUUAAGCGCCCCGCCUAAGGACUGUGUCCGCAAGCGUAAUACUCAAAGGAAUUGAUGGAGCGCCGCACAAGCAGGUAAAGCACAAGGAUUAAUUCGAUGCAACGACGAAGAACCUUACGAGGGUUUGACAUGCAACAGUUGCAGCCAGAGAUGGUUGUUUCCGUGUGGUUGCGGUGCAGGUGGUGCAGGUGGGUGGUCAUUUUUCUUCGUGAGAUGUCGGGCCAAAUGGCUUAGCGAACGCAGAAAGAGGUUCACAACCCCAAGGCGGUCAUGGGAACACGGGGGGGGGGUGUCACAGGAGUCCGCCCGGGUCACAUUGGAGGAAGGUGGGGACGACGGCAAGUCUUCAGGCCCUGUAUCUGCAGCAGUUCGCCCGGUCUACAAUUCAGUAUGCAGAGGGGUGGGAGCCCGGGUGGGGGAUCGAAUCCCCAACAAUGGGAUACAGUUCGGAUCGGUGUCCCAACUCAAAGCCAAGAAGCAAGAGUUCCUAGUACUGUCAGAUCAGCAGCAGUCAGGUGAAUUAGUUGCCGCACUUUGUCCGCCUCAUCCCAGAGUUCGGGACAGGUCGUACCCGUGGAAGUCCAUGGCUUAACGCUCAUCCUGGCGGGGAAGCAGGUUGAAGGUGGGGCUGGAUCACCUCCUUUCU